GAUGUCUACUUGGAGGUUGUGGCCUUGAGCCGUGGCUUUCGGAGCUAACGCGUUAAGUAGACCGCCUGGGGAGUACGGUCGCAAGAUUAAAACUCAAAUGAAUUGACGGGGGCCCGCACAAGCGGUGGAGCAUGUGGUUUAAUUCGAUGCAACGCGAAGAACCUUACCUACUCUUGACAUCCAGAGAACUUUCCAGAGAUGGAUUGGUGCCUUCGGGAACUCUGAGACAGGUGCUGCAUGGCUGUCGUCAGCUCGUGUUGUGAAAUGUUGGGUUAAGUCCCGCAACGAGCGCAACCCUUAUCCUUGUUUGCCAGCGAGUAAUGUCGGGAACUCCAGGGAGACUGCCGGUGAUAAACCGGAGGAAGGUGGGGACGACGUCAAGUCAUCAUGGCCCUUACGAGUAGGGCUACACACGUGCUACAAUGGCGCAUACAGAGGGCGGCCAACUUGCGAAAGUGAGCGAAUCCCAAAAAGUGCGUCGUAGUCCGGAUUGGAGUCUGCAACUCGACUCCAUGAACU
rnacentral:rRNA from 2 species